rnacentral:rRNA from 1 species
UACGUAGGGGGCUAGCGUUGUCCGGAAUCAUUGGGCGUAAAGAGCGUGUAGGCGGCCCGGUAAGUCCGCUGUGAAAGUCGGGGGCUCAACCCUCGAAUGCCGGUGGAUACUGUCGGGCUAGAGUGCGGAAGAGGCGAGUGGAAUUCCUGGUGUAGCGGUGAAAUGCGCAGAUAUCAGGAGGAACACCAAUUGCGAAGGCAGCUCGCUGGGACGUAACUGACGCUGAGACGCGAAAACGUGGGGAGCAAACAGG